AACGAACGCUGGCGGCAUGCCUAACACAUGCAAGUCGAACGAGACCUUCGGGUCUAGUGGCGCACGGGUGCGUAACGCGUGGGAACCUGCCCUUAGGUUCGGAAUAACUCCCCGAAAGGGGUGCUAAUACCGGAUAAUGUCUUCGGACCAAAGAUUUAUCGCCUUUGGAUGGGCCCGCGUUGGAUUAGCUAGUUGGUAGGGUAAAAGCCUCCCAAGGCGACGAUCCAUAGCUGGUCUGAGAGGAUGAUCAGCCACACUGGGACUGAGACACGGCCCAGACUCCUACGGGAAGCAGCAGUGGGGAAUAUUGGACAAUGGGCGAAAGCCUGAUCCAGCAAUGCCGCGUGAGUGAUGAAGGCCUUAGGGUUGUAAAGCUCUUUUACCCGGGAUGAUAAUGACAGUACCGGGAGAAUAAGCUCCGGCUAACUCCGUG
rnacentral:rRNA from 1 species